rnacentral:rRNA from 1 species
GAUGAACGCUGGCGGCGUGCUUAACACAUGCAAGUCGAACGGUGAACGAGGGAGCUUGCUCCCUCCGGAUCAGUGGCGAACGGGUGAGUAACACGUGAGCAAUCUGCCCUGGACUCUGGGAUAAGCGUUGGAAACGACGUCUAAUACCGGAUACGAGGCGUGGGGGCAUCCCCAACGCCUGGAAAGAACUUCGGUCCAGGAUGAGCUCGCGGCCCAUCAGGUAGUUGGUGGGGUAAUGGCUCACCAAGCCUACGACGGGUAGCCGGCCUGAGAGGGUGACCGGCCACACUGGGACUGAGACACGGCCCAGACGCCUACGGGAGGCAGCAGUGGGGAAUAUUGCACAAUGGGCGCAAGCCUGAUGCAGCAACGCCGCGUGAGGGACGACGGCCUUCGGGUUGUAAACCUCUUUUAGCAGGGAAGAAGCGAAAGUGACGGUACCUGCAGAAAAAGCACCGGCUAACUACGUGCCAGCCGCCGCAGUAACAC